rnacentral:rRNA from 1 species
UACGGGGGGGGCAAGCGUUGUUCGGAAUUACUGGGCGUAAAGGGCUCGUAGGCGGCCAACUAAGUCGGAUGUGAAAUCCCCAGGCUUAACCUGGGAACUGCAUCCGAUACUGGAUGGCUUGAAUUCGGGAGAGGGAUGCAGAAUUCCAGGUGUAGCGGUGAAAUGCGUAGAUAUCUGGAGGAAUACCGGUGGCGAAGGCGGCAUCCUGGACCAUA